rnacentral:snoRNA from 1 species
AUUCCAUGAUGGGGACAUUCUAGGAUGUAGUCUUGGAAGCGCUCCCAUGCUUCUGGAACGGAUUCAUCAUGUUGUUGUGUAAUACCCAAUUUUAAGAACAAAACCAGAUAUGUACCAUAUGUGAGU